AUCUAACUGACAAGUCUUAAAUAGGACGAAACACACGUCCUGGAU
rfam:Schistosoma margrebowiei strain Zambia genome assembly, scaffold: SMRZ_contig0002257